UACGGAGGGUGCGAGCGUUAAUCGGAAUUACUGGGCGUAAAGCGUGCGCAGGCGGUUUGUUAAGCAAGAUGUGAAAGCCCCGGGCUCAACCUGGGAAUCGCAUUUUGAACUGGCAAGCUAGAGUCUUGUAGAGGGGGUAGAAUUUCAGGUGUAGCGGUGAAAUGCGUAGAGAUCUGAAGGAAUACCGGUGGCGAAGGCGGCCCCCUGGACAAAGACUGACGCUCAUGCACGAAAGCGUGGGGAGCAAACAGG
rnacentral:rRNA from 1 species